CCAAGAAGAUCCUUUUGCCUCUCUGGCAAUUUCUGAAUUUUAUUUUGUUUGGUGUUUUUCUUCACUGCGAUAAUUGUAACAAUCUUUCACCAAAUUCUUCCACGACUUCAACUUUAUACAAUCACACUCUGUCGUCUUCUUCCCCUCAACAAUCUUCUCUUUCCAUUACGAUCCACCGUCUCCCUCUCCGUACUCAAAAGUCGAUACCCUGUCGCUCUAUUCUCGAAGCUGCGUUUCGAUCGAUACAAACACACUUUUAAUUCUUUAUUCUUUCGGUGUUUAUGUUUUUGGGGGGUUUCUGGAAACGGAAUUAUUUUUGAAUAAAGAACGGAUUGCAAUCGGGAGUGAUAAUGAAUUACAGUGAGCGUAGUUCAGAGGUUUGAUCGUUCAACCAUGUGGUUCUCCUUCUGGCGAUCCAGAGAUCGAUUCUCCGCAGUGGAACUCAGAUAUUUAAUUGAGCAGCUGCAGAAAGUUCAAAUUGUUAAUGAGGUUAACAAGGAGUUUGUAUAGAGGCAUUGAGAUCGAUAGCAGAGUUAUUAACAUAUGGUGAUCAACACGAUUCGUCUUUUUUUUUGAGUAAGACUUCUCAAGGUUAACCGC